GCUCCAGUGGCGCAGUUGGUUAGCGCAUGGUACUUAUAGGACAGUAUUCAUGUUAAUAGGAGAAAAAAGCUGCACAAAACAUCGCAGAAGUUGAAACGUAUAAGAAAUGCCGAGGUCGCGAGUUCGAGCCUCGCCUGGAGCA
rnacentral:tRNA from 1 species